UUAAUUAAUUAAUCAUUAAUUUUAUCAUUUUUUAUUUUGAUUUUGCAUGUUAUUCCAUUAUUUUUUUUACUGUGAAUCAAUGAAUAAUUCUUAUUUUCUAUUUAACAUGUUAAAUCUCAGUUAUCAAACUAACGUUAAUGUAAAGUUAAUUUAAGGAUAGCCUCUUGUUUUCUGUGUUACGCUCUGUCUGCAUCUAACACAACUCAAUCCAUUGAUUUAGCUAUCAAAAAGGUUAAUUUUGUUUACUCAAAAGUAUGAACAAAACCUGGAAAGUCAAAGGCCAAGAGAGACGAGGAACCAUCAAGAUGGAAACUUGGAAGAUUACUAAUUAAUGAAAAUCAAAUAUCUAAUGCAACAACACCAAGCAAUGGACAAAGAUAAAGAUUUAAAGAGAUGUUAACAAAAGCUUAUAUUACGUGAUUUGUUUGAAUAACAAUUAUAACUGUUAUCAUAACCCAUUAGGACCAUGUAACUCAUAAUCGAUAUGAAUAACAGCCAGAUUAUGGUCAUUAAUUGAUUAAAGUGAAAAGCCUAGAUGAGCAAAUGGAAGCUCAAAAGAUAUCAUUUCUGUAGCAUGGGCAUUAUAGUGAAUUUCAGAGACAAAAAAAUGCCUAAUGAUCAAGUAGGACCCAAAUGGAUGGCUAGAGUAACGAUAAAUCUGACUGGCUUGGUAUUAUAAUGGGUAACAAUGAUUGCAAUGGUUGAACAUUAUCAUCAAUAAUGCUGGAAUUGGUGAAUACCAUUAACAUGGAGAUGAUUAGUCUAUUUGAACAUCUAAACAUCAUUAGCCACCAUUGAUCAGGUUAUUCUUGUGCCUGGUUCUUAACCCAAUGUGUUUACCCAGAUUUGUCAACUCUUUUUCUGGUUGGACCUUAAUUGAUGAUGAUAGGCCAUUGUGAUUGCUGAUCUACAUGUACAUCGAUUAUUAACCUGAUUGCAAGCAGAUGAGAAACAAGAAAUUCAAGAUGAAACUGCUUAAAUUGAGUGUAUCGCAUUUCACUGUGCUAUGGGCUCAUCAUCAACAAUCAAGGCUCAAUAUUGAAUGGUUAAACAGAAAUGCUAAACCUUUAACAGUCGAUUAUUAAUCUUGCCUCGCAAUCUGUAUUU